GACGAGCGCUGGCGGCGUGCUUAACACAUGCAAGUCGAGCGGUAAGGCCCUUUCGGGGGUACACGAGCGGCGAACGGGUGAGUAACACGUGGGUGACCUGCCCUCAGCUCUGGGAUAAGCCUGGGAAACCGGGUCUAAUACUGGAUAUGACUCCAUGACGCAUGUUGUGGGGUGGAAAGCCUUGUGCGGCUGAGGAUGGGCCCGCGGCCUAUCAGCUUGUUGGUGGGGUGAUGGCCUACCAAGGCGACGACGGGUAGCCGGCCUGAGAGGGCGACCGGCCACACUGGGACUGAGACACGGCCCAGACUCCUACGGGAGGCAGCAGUGGGGAAUCUUGCGCAAUGGGCGAAAGCCUGACGCAGCGACGCCGCGUGGGGA
rnacentral:rRNA from 1 species